rnacentral:rRNA from 1 species
GACGAACGCUGGCGGCGUGCUUAACACAUGCAAGUCGAACGGAAAGGCCCUGCUUUUGUGGGGUGCUCGAGUGGCGAACGGGUGAGUAACACGUGAGUAACCUGCCCUUGACUUUGGGAUAGCUUCAGGAAACUGGGGCUAAUACCGGAUAGGAGCUCCUGCUGCAUGGUGGGGGUUGGAAAGUUUCGGCGGUUGGGGAUGGACUCGCGGCUUAUCAGCUUGUUGGUGGGGUAGUGGCUUACCAAGGCUUUGACGGGUAGCCGGCCUGAGAGGGUGACCGGCCACAUUGGGACUGAGAUACGGCCCAGACUCCUACGGGAGGCAGCAGUGGGGAAUAUUGCACAAUGGGCGGAAGCCUGAUGCAGCAACGCCGCGUGCGGGAUGACGGCCUUCGGGUUGUAAACCGCUUUCGCCUGUGACGAAGCGUGAGUGACGGUAAUGGGUAAAGAAGCACCGGCUAACUACGUGCCAGCAGCCGCGGUGAUACGUAGGGUGCGAGCGUUGUCCGGAUUUAUUGGGCGUAAAGGGCUCGUAGGUGGUUGAUCGCGUCGGAAGUGUAAUCUUGGGGCUUAACCCCUGAGCGUGCUUUCGAUACGGGUUGACUUGAGGAAGGUAGGGGAGAAUGGAAUUCCUGGUGGAGCGGUGGAAUGCGCAGAUAUCAGGAGGAACACCAGUGGCGAAGGCGGUUCUCUGGGCCUUUCCUGACGCUGAGGAGCGAAAGCGUGGGGAGCGAACAGGCUUAGAUACCCUGGUAGUCCACGCUGUAAACGGUGGGUACUAGGUGUGGGGUCCAUUCCACGGGUUCCGUGCCGUAGCUAACGCUUUAAGUACCCCGCCUGGGGAGUACGGCCGCAAGGCUAAAACUCAAAGGAAUUGACGGGGCCCCGCACAAGCGGCGGAGCAUGCGGAUUAAUUCGAUGCAACGCGUAGAACCUUACCUGGGUUUGACAUGGAUCGGGAGUGCUCAGAGAUGGGUGUGCCUCUUUUGGGGUCGGUUCACAGGUGGUGCAUGGCUGUCGUCAGCUCGUGUCGUGAGAUGUUGGGUUAAGUCCCGCAACGAGCGCAACCCUUGUUCACUGUUGCCAGCACGUUAUGGUGGGGACUCAGUGGAGACCGCCGGGGUCAACUCGGAGGAAGGUGGGGAUGACGUCAAGUCAUCAUGCCCCUUAUGUCCAGGGCUUCACGCAUGCUACAAUGGCUGGUACAGAGAGUGGCGAGCCUGUGAGGGUGAGCGAAUCUCGGAAAGCCGGUCUCAGUUCGGAUUGGGGUCUGCAACUCGACCUCAUGAAGUCGGAGUCGCUAGUAAUCGCAGAUCAGCAACGCUGCGGUGAAUAAGGUCCCGGG